rnacentral:rRNA from 1 species
GAUGAACGCUGGCGGCGUGCCUAAUACAUGCAAGUCGAGCGAACAGACGAGGAGCUUGCUCCUCUGACGUUAGCGGCGGAUGGGUGAGUAACACGUGGAUAACCUACCUAUAAGACUGGGAUAACUUCGGGAAACCGGAGCUAAUACCGGAUAAUAUAUUGAACCGCAUGGUUCAAUAGUGAAAGACGGUUUUGCUGUCACUUAUAGAUGGAUCCGCGCCGCAUUAGCUAGUUGGUAAGGUAACGGCUUGCCAAGGCAACGAUGCGUAGCCGACCUGAGAGGGUGAUCGGCCACACUGGAACUGAGACACGGUCCAGACUCCUACGGGAGGCAGCAGUAGGGAAUCUUCCGCAAUGGGCGAAAGCCUGACGGAGCAACGCCGCGUGAGUGAUGAAGGUCUUCGGAUCGUAAAACUCUGUUAUUAGGGAAGAACAAAUGUGUAAGUAACUAUGCACGUCUUGACGGUACCUAAUCAGAAAGCCACGGCUAACUACGUG